rnacentral:rRNA from 1 species
GGCUUAGAGUUUGAUCAUGGCUCAGGAUGAACGCUAGCUACAGGCUUAACACAUGCAAGUCGAGGGGCAGCGGGAUUGAAGCUUGCUUCAAUUGCCGGCGACCGGCGCACGGGUGAGUAACGCGUAUCCAACCUUCCGCUUACUCGGGGAUAGCCUUUCGAAAGAAAGAUUAAUACCCGAUUGUAUCUUAAGCACGCAUGAGAUUAAGAUUAAAGAUUUAUCGGUAAGCGAUGGGGAUGCGUUCCAUUAGGCAGUUGGCGGGGUAACGGCCCACCAAACCUACGAUGGAUAGGGGUUCUGAGAGGAAGGUCCCCCACAUUGGAACUGAGACACGGUCCAAACUCCUACGGGAGGCAGCAGUGAGGAAUAUUGGUCAAUGGGCGAGAGCCUGAACCAGCCAAGUAGCGUGAAGGAUGACGGCCCUACGGGUUGUAAACUUCUUUUGUGCGGGAAUAAAGGAGCCUACGUGUAGGCUUUUGCAUGUACCGUAACGAAUAAGCAUCGGCUAACUCCGUGCCAGCAGCCGCGGUAAUACGGAGGAUGCGAGCGUUAUCCGGAUUUAUUGGGUUUAAAGGGAGCGUAGACGGGUUUUUAAGUCAGCUGUGAAAGUUUGGGGCUCACCUUAAAAUUGCAGUUGAAACUGGAGACCUUGAGUACGGUUGAGGCAGGCGGAAUUCGUGGUGUAGCGGUGAAAUGCUUAGAUAUCACGAAGAAACUCCGAUUGCGAAGGCAGCCUGCUAAGCCGCCACUGACGUUGAGGCUCCGAAAGUGCGGGUAUCAAACAGGAUUAGAUACCCUGGUUAGUCCGCACGGUAAACGAUGGAUACUCUGCCUGUUGGCGAUAGACGGUCAGCGGGCUAGCGAAAGC